GUAAGGAAUAUUGGACAAUGGACGCAAGUCUGAUCCAGCCAUGCCGCGUGAAGGAUUAAGGUCCUCUGGAUUGUAAACUUCUUUUAUAAGGGACGAAAAAAGGCUUUUCUAAGUCGUCUGACGGUACCUUAUGAAUAAGCACCGGCUAACUCCGUGCCAGCAGCCGCGGUAAUACGGAGGGUGCAAGCGUUAUCCGGAUUCACUGGGUUUAAAGGGUGCGUAGGCGGGCAGGUAAGUCAGUGGUGAAAUCCUAGAGCUUAACUCUAGAACUGCCAUUGAUACUAUCUGUCUUGAAUAUUGUGGAGGUAAGCGGAAUAGGUCAUGUAGCGGUGAAAUGCUUAGAUAUGACAUAGAACACCUAUUGCGAAGGCAGCUUACUACGCAUAUAUUGACGCUGAUGCACGAAAGCGUGGGGAUCAAACAGGAUUAGAAACCCGUGUAGUCC
rnacentral:rRNA from 1 species